GGGUUGUGAGGUUAAGCGACUAAGCGUACACGGUGGAUGCCUAGGCAGUCAGAGGCGAUGAAGGGCGUGCUAAUCUGCGAAAAGCGUCGGCAAGGUGAUAUGAACCGUUAUACCCGACGAUACCCGAAUGGGGAAACCCAGUGUGAUUCGUCACACUAUCAUUAACUGAAUCCAUAGGUUAAUGAGGCGAACCGGGGGAACUGAAACAUCUCAGUACCCCGAGGAAAAGAAAUCAACCGAGAUUCCCCCAGUAGCGGCGAGCGAACGGGGAGGAGCCCAGAACCUGAAUCGGCUUGUGUGUCAGUGGAAGCGUCUGGAAAGGCGCACGAUACAGGGUGACAGUCCCGUACACGAAGAUGCACAGGUCGUGAGUUCGAUGAGUAGGGCGGGACACGUGGUAUCCUGUCUGAACAUGGGGGGACCAUCCUCCAAGGCUAAAUACUCCUGACUGACCGAUAGUGAACCAGUACCGUGAGGGAAAGGCGAAAAGAACCCCGGCGAGGGGAGUGAAAUAGAACCUGAAACCGUGUACGUACAAGCAGUGGGAGCACCUUUAGGGUGUGACUGCGUACCUUUUGUAUAAUGGGUCAGCGACUUAUAUUCUGUAGCAAGGUUAACCGAAUAGGGGAGCCGCAGGGAAACCGAGUCUUAACUGGGCGUCUAGUUGCAGGGUAUAGACCCGAAACCCGGUGAUCUAGCCAUGGGCAGGUUGAAGGUUGGGUAACACUAACUGGAGGACCGAACCGACUAAUGUUGAAAAAUUAGCGGAUGACUUGUGGCUGGGGGUGAAAGGCCAAUCAAACCGGGAGAUAGCUGGUUCUCCCCGAAAGCUAUUUAGGUAGCGCCUCGUGAACUCAUCUUCGGGGGUAGAGCACUGUUUCGGCUAGGGGGCCAUCCCGGCUUACCAACCCGAUGCAAACUGCGAAUACCGAAGAAUGUUAUCACGGGAGACACACGGCGGGUGCUAACGUCCGUCGUGAAGAGGGAAACAACCCAGACCGCCAGCUAAGGUCCCAAAGUCAUGGUUAAGUGGGAAACGAUGUGGGAAGGCCCAGACAGCCAGGAUGUUGGCUUAGAAGCAGCCAUCAUUUAAAGAAAGCGUAAUAGCUCACUGGUCGAGUCGGCCUGCGCGGAAGAUGUAACGGGGCUAAAACCAUGCACCGAAGCUGCGGCAGCGACACUGUGUGUUGUUGGGUAGGGGAGCGUUCUGUAAGCCUGUGAAGGUGGCCUGUGAGGGCUGCUGGAGGUAUCAGAAGUGCGAAUGCUGACAUAAGUAACGAUAAUGCGGGUGAAAAACCCGCACGCCGGAAGACCAAGGGUUCCUGUCCAACGUUAAUCGGGGCAGGGUGAGUCGACCCCUAAGGCGAGGCUGAAAAGCGUAGUCGAUGGGAAACAGGUUAAUAUUCCUGUACUUGGUGUUACUGCGAAGGGGGGACGGAGAAGGCUAUGUCAUCCGGGCGACGGUUGUCCCGGUUUAAGCGUGCAGGUGGGUGGACCAGGUAAAUCCGGUCUGCUGUUAACACUGAGGCGUGAUGACGAGGCACUACGGUGCUGAAGUGACAGAUGCCCGGCUUCCAGGAAAAGCCUCUAAGCAUCAGGUAACAUUGAAUCGUACCCCAAACCGACACAGGUGGUCAGGUAGAGAAUACUCAGGCGCUUGAGAGAACUCGGGUGAAGGAACUAGGCAAAAUGGUGCCGUAACUUCGGGAGAAGGCACGCUCCUGUUGGUGAAGUCCCUCGCGGAUGGAGCUGAGGGGAGUCGCAGAUACCAGCUGGCUGCAACUGUUUAAUAAAAACACAGCACUGUGCAAACACGAAAGUGGACGUAUACGGUGUGACGCCUGCCCGGUGCCGGAAGGUUAAUUGAUGGGGUUAUCCGUAAGGAGAAGCUCUUGAUCGAAGCCCCGGUAAACGGCGGCCGUAACUAUAACGGUCCUAAGGUAGCGAAAUUCCUUGUCGGGUAAGUUCCGACCUGCACGAAUGGCGUAAUGAUGGCCAGGCUGUCUCCACCCGAGACUCAGUGAAAUUGAACUCGCUGUGAAGAUGCAGUGUACCCGCGGCAAGACGGAAAGACCCCGUGAACCUUUACUAUAGCUUGACACUGAACCUUGAGCCUUGAUGUGUAGGAUAGGUGGGAGGCUUUGAAGUGUGGACGCCAGUCUGCAUGGAGCCAACCUUGAAAUACCACCCUUUAAUGUUUGAUGUUCUAACCUGGGCCCGUAAUCCGGGCUGGGGACAGUGUCUGGUGGGUAGUUUGACUGGGGCGGUCUCCUCCCAAAGAGUAACGGAGGAGCACGAAGGUUAGCUAAUCCUGGUCGGACAUCAGGAGGUUAGUGCAAAGGCAUAAGCUAGCUUGACUGCGAGAGUGACGGCUCGAGCAGGUGCGAAAGCAGGUCUUAGUGAUCCGGUGGUUCUGAAUGGAAGGGCCAUCGCUCAACGGAUAAAAGGUACUCCGGGGAUAACAGGCUGAUACCGCCCAAGAGUUCAUAUCGACGGCGGUGUUUGGCACCUCGAUGUCGGCUCAUCACAUCCUGGGGCUGAAGUAGGUCCCAAGGGUAUGGCUGUUCGCCAUUUAAAGUGGUACGCGAGCUGGGUUUAGAACGUCGUGAGACAGUUCGGUCCCUAUCUGCCGUGGGCGUUGGAAGAUUGAGGGGGGUUGCUCCUAGUACGAGAGGACCGGAGUGAACGCACCGCUGGUGUUCGGGUUGUCAUGCCAAUGGCACUGCCCGGUAGCUACGUGCGGAAGAGAUAACCGCUGAAAGCAUCUAAGCGGGAAACUUGCCCCGAGAUGAGUCUUCCCUGGGAACUAGAUUCCCCUGAAGGGACGUUCGAGACGAGGACGUUGAUAGGCUGGGUGUGUAAGCGUAGCGAUACGUUGAGCUAACCAGUACUAAUGACCCGAGAGGCUUAACCUUACAACACCGAAGGUGUUU
rnacentral:rRNA from 1 species